UACGAAGGGGGCUAGCGUUGCUCGGAAUCACUGGGCGUAAAGGGUGCGUAGGCGGGUCUUUAAGUCAGGGGGUGAAAUCCUGGAGCUCAACUCCAGAACUGCCUUUGAUACUGAGGAUCUUGAGUACGGGAGAGGUGAGUGGAACUGCGAGUGUAGAGGUGAAAUUCGUAGAUAUUCGCAAGAACACCAGUGGCGAAGGCGGCUCACUGGCCCGUAACUGACGCUGAGGCACGAAAGCGUGGGGAGCAAACAGG
rnacentral:rRNA from 1 species